GAUGAACGCUGGCGGCGUGCUUAAUACAUGCAAGUCGAGCGAACAGACGAGGAGCUUGCUCCUCUGACGUUAGCGGCGGACGGGUGAGUAACACGUGGAUAACCUACCUAUAAGACUGGGAUAACUUCGGGAAACCGGAUCUAACACCGGAUAAUAUAUUGAACCGCAUGGUUCAAUAGUGAAAGACGGUUUUGCUGUCACUUAUAGAUGGUUCCGCGCCGCAUUAGCUAGUUGGUAAGGUAACGGCUUACCAAGGCGACGCUGCGUAGCCGACCUGAGAGGAUGAUCGGCCACACUGGAACUGAGACACGGUCCAGAGUCCUACGGGAGGCAGCAGUAGGGAAUCUUCGGCAAUGGGGGAAAGCCUGACGGAGCAACGCCGCGUGAGUGAUGAAGGUCUUCGGAUCGUAAAACUCUGUUAUUAGGGAAGAACAAAUGUGUAAGUAAAUAUGCACGUCUUGACGGUACCGGAUCAGAAAGCCACGGCUAACUACGUG
rnacentral:rRNA from 1 species